UCAUUUGUUAUCUAAAUGAUAACUAGUAUGAAUGGUCUGACGAGAAAAUAACUCUCUAAAAAGAAAAAAUGAAAAUUUAUUUUAAAGUAAAAAAGCUUUAUAACUUUAGAAAGACGAGAAGACCCUAGAACCUGUUCUAUCUAUAUAGUUUGUUGGGGUGACAUUAUUCAAAACAAAUAACUAGCAAAACUUAUUUACUGACUAUAUCUAUCUUUACUAAAAAAAAAAAAGGUACUCUAGGGAUAACAGCAUAAUCUUCUUCUAGAGCCCUAAUCGACAAGAAAGA
rnacentral:rRNA from 1 species